rnacentral:tRNA from 1 species
GUCUCUGUAGAGCAAUGGAUAGCGCGUUGGACUUCUUAUCCAAAGGUCGUAGGUUCAAAUCCAACCUGGGAUG